CCUACGGGUGGCAGCAGUGGGGAAUAUUGGGCAAUGGGCGAAAGCCUGACCCAGCAACGCCGCGUGAAGGAAGAAGGCUUUCGGGUUGUACACUUCUUUUGACAGGGAAGAGCAGAAGACGGUACCUGUCGAAUAAGCCACGGCUAACUACGUGACAGCAGUCGCGGUAAUACGUAGGUGGCAAGAGUUGUCCGGAUUUACUGGGGGUAAAGGGCGUGUAGCCGGGCUGACAAGUCAGAUGUGAAGUCCGGGGGCUCAACCCCCGAACUGCAUUUGAAACUGUUGGUCUGGAGUAUCGGAGAGGCAGGCGGAAUUCCUAGUGUAGCGGGGAAAGGCGUAGAUAUUAGGAGGAACACCAGAGGCGAAGGCGGCCUGCUGGACGACAACUGACGGUGAGGCGCGAAAGCGUGGGGAGCAAACAGGAUUAGAUACCCUAGUAGUC
rnacentral:rRNA from 1 species